rnacentral:rRNA from 1 species
AGAGUUUGAUCAUGGCUCAGAUUGAACGCUGGCGGCAGGCCUAACACAUGCAAGUCGAACGGUAACAGAAAGCAGCUUGCUGCUUUGCUGACGAGUGGCGGACGGGUGAGUAAUGUCUGGGAAACUGCCCGAUGGAGGGGGAUAACUACUGGAAACGGUAGCUAAUACCGCAUAACGUCGCAAGACCAAAGAGGGGGACCUUCGGGCCUCUUGCCAUCGGAUGUGCCCAGAUGGGAUUAGCUUGUUGGUGGGGUAACGGCUCACCAAGGCGACGAUCCCUAGCUGGUCUGAGAGGAUGACCAGCCACACUGGAACUGAGACACGGUCCAGACUCCUACGGGAGGCAGCAGUGGGGAAUAUUGCACAAUGGGCGCAAGCCUGAUGCAGCCAUGCCGCGUGUAUGAAGAAGGCCUUCGGGUUGUAAAGUACUUUCAGCGGGGAGGAAGGGAGUAAAGUUAAUACCUUUGCUCAUUGACGUUACCCGCAGAAGAAGCACCGGCUAACUCCGUGCCAGCAGCCGCGGUAAUACGGAGGGUGCAAGCGUUAAUCGGAAUUACUGGGCGUAAAGCGCACGUAGGCGGUUUGUUAAGUCAGAUGUGAAAUCCCCGGGCUCAACCUGGGAACUGCAUCUGAUACUGGCAAGCUUGAGUCUCGUAGAGGGGGGUAGAAUUCCAGGUGUAGCGGUGAAAUGCGUAGAGAUCUGGAGGAAUACCGGUGGCGAAGGCGGCCCCCUGGACGAAGACUGACGCUCAGGUGCGAAAGCGUGGGGAGCAAACAGGAUUAGAUACCCUGGUAGUCCACGCCGUAAACGAUGUCGACUUGGAGGUUGUGCCCUUGAGGCGUGGCUUCCGGAGCUAACGCGUUAAGUCGACCGCCUGGGGAGUACGGCCGCAAGGUUAAAACUCAAAUGAAUUGACGGGGGCCCGCACAAGCGGUGGAGCAUGUGGUUUAAUUCGAUGCAACGCGAAGAACCUUACCUGGUCUUGACAUCCACGGAAGUUUUCAGAGAUGAGAAUGUGCCUUCGGGAACCGUGAGACAGGUGCUGCAUGGCUGUCGUCAGCUCGUGUUGUGAAAUGUUGGGUUAAGUCCCGCAACGAGCGCAACCCUUAUCCUUUGUUGCCAGCGGUCCGGCCGGGAACUCAAAGGAGACUGCCAGUGAUAAACUGGAGGAAGGUGGGGAUGACGUCAAGUCAUCAUGGCCCUUACGACCAGGGCUACACACGUGCUACAAUGGCGCAUACAAAGAGAAGCGACCUCGCGAGAGCAAGCGGACCUCAUAAAGUGCGUCGUAGUCCGGAUUGGAGUCUGCAACUCGACUCCAUGAAGUCGGAAUCGCUAGUAAUCGUGGAUCAGAAUGCCACGGUGAAUACGUUCCCGGGCCUUGUACACACCGCCCGUCACACCAUGGGAGUGGGUUGCAAAAGAAGUAGGUAGCUUAACCUUCGGGAGGGCGCUUACCACUUUGUGAUUCAUGACUGGGGUGAAGUCGUAACAAGGUAACCGUAGGGGAACCUGCGGUUGGAUCACCU